rnacentral:rRNA from 1 species
GUGCCAGCAGCUGCGGUUAUACUAAGUGAGUAGAUGGAAAUUAUAAGUAUAAGCAGUUAUGCCGGUAUCUAUCUUAGUCUUAUUAUUCGGUUAAGUAAGUAGUGAAAUUCGUAUCUUUUUGGGUUAAGUUUGUUUAAGAGAGUGGUGCAGAAUCUGCGAAGGUCUGGAGAUAAACCAGGAUUAGAUACCCUGUUAUACCAGUUUUAGAAUAUCUUGCUUGGGUAGUAAUCAGUUAAGAGCUUGAAAUCUAAAAAAUUUGGCGGUAUUUUAGUCUGUUUAGAGGAACCUGUUUUAUAAGCGAUAAACCACGUAGUAUCUUGCUUUAUCUAGUUUAGUUUGUAUACCGCCAUAAUUCGGCUUUGUUUUAAAAUAUAUUCCAUAAAAAGAGAGAGCUUAAAACAUUAGGUCAAGGUGCAGCUUAUGGUAAAGUAGUUAAUGGGUUACAAUAUAACUUAUAUAAUACGAAAAGUGGCUUGAAAGGGUUACUGGAAGGUGGAUUUAAUAGUAAUGUUGGCUUUAGUAAGAGAGCGUGAACUUGCUCUAAGAUAUGUACACAUCGCCCGUCGCUCUCAUUUUAUAAGGUGAGAUAAGUCGUAACAAAGUAGGAAAAA